rnacentral:rRNA from 1 species
CCUACGGGUGGCAGCAGUGAGGAAUAUUGGUCAAUGGGCGCGAGCCUGAACCAGCCAAGUCGCGUGAGGGAUUAAGGCCCUAUGGAUCGUAAACCUCUUUUAUCUGGGAAUAAAGUGUGGGACGUGUCCUCUUUUGUAUGUACCCUAUGCAUAAGGCUCCGCUAACUCCGUUCCAGCAGCCGCGGUUAUACGGAGGGUCCGAGCGUUUUCCGGAUUUAUUGGGUUUAAAGGGUGCCUAGGUGGCCUUUUAAGUCAGCGGUGAAAGUUUGUGGCUCAACCAUAGAAUUGCCGUUGAAACUGGGGGUAUUGAGUAUGUUAGAGGCGGGCGGAAUGCGUGGUGUAGCGGUGAAAUGCUUAGAUAUCACGCAGAACCCCGAUUGCGAAGGCAGCAUACCGGUGCACAACUGACGCUGAGGCACGAAAGCGUGGGUAUCGAACAGGAUUAGAUACCCUUGUAGUC